CCUACGGGACGCUGCAGUCGAGAAUCAUUCACAAUGGGGGAAACCCUGAUGGUGCGACGCCGCGUGGGGGAAUGAAGGUCUUCGGAUUGUAAACCCCUGUCAUGUGGGAGCAAAUUAAAAAGAUAGUACCACAAGAGGAAUAGACGGCUAACUCUGUGCCAGCAGCCGCGGUAAUACAGAGGUCUCAAGCGUUGUUCGGAAUCCCUGGGCGUAAAGCGUUCGUAGGCUGUUGCGUAAGUCGUGUGUGAAAGGCGCGGGCUCAACCCGCGGACGGCACAUGAUACUGCGAGACUAGAGUAAGGGAGGGGGAAGCGGAAUUCUCGGUGUAGCAGUGAAAUGCGUAGAUAUCGAGAGGAACACUGGUGGCGAAGGCGGGUUCCUGGACAUUAACUGACGCUGAGGCACGAAAGCCAGGGGAGCGAAAGGGAUUAGAUACCCGUGUAGUC
rnacentral:rRNA from 1 species